UACGGAGGGUGCGAGCGUUAUCCGGAUUCACUGGGUUUAAAGGGUGCGUAGGUGGGGAAGUAAGUCAGUGGUGAAAUCUCCGUGCUUAACAUGGAAACUGCCAUUGAUACUAUUUUUCUUGAAUUUUCCGGAGGUUAGCGGAAUAUGUCAUGUAGCGGUGAAAUGCUUAGAUAUGACAUAGAACACCGAUUGCGAAGGCAGCUAACUACAGGGAUAUUGACACUGAGGCACGAAAGCGUGGGGAUCAAACAGG
rnacentral:rRNA from 1 species